GAUGAACGCUCGCGAUAGGCUUAACACAUGCAAGUCGAGGGGCAGCAUGGUCUUAGCUUGCUAAGGCUGAUGGCGACCGGCGCACGGGUGCGUAACGCGUACGCAACUUGCCUCACAGAGGGGGAUAACCCGUCGAAAGACGGACUAAUACCGCGUACACUCUAUGUUGGGCAUCCAAUGUAGAGGAAAUGAAAUUCGCUGUGAGAUAGGCAUGCGUCCCAUUAGCUAGUUGGUGAGGUAACGGCUCACCAAGGCGACGAUGGGUAGGGGAACUGAGAGGUUGAACCCCCACACUGGUACUGGGACACGGACCAGACUCCUACGGGAGGCAGCAGUGAGGAAUAUUGGUCAAUGGGCGAGGGCCUGAACCAGCCAAGUCGCGUGAAGGAUGACUGUCUUAUGGAUUGUAAACUUCUUUUAGACGGGAAUAACAAGAGUCACGUGUGGCUCCCUGCAUGUACCGUAUGAAUAAGCAUCGGCUAACUCCGUG
rnacentral:rRNA from 1 species